rnacentral:lncRNA from 1 species
CGUCAUUCCGGUCACACCUUAUAUUCUUUACUAUUUGUCCGAUAGCAAAGAAGAACUCAAGCUCGAACUCUAAUCCCUUCUCAGUUAGUUUCGGAGGAAAUGCAAAAUGGGAGAAAGAACUGAACCAGAAGUUAUCUUCUACUUGAAUUUUUCUCAUCAUCUUAAUUUUUCGACUUCUGCUGUAUCUUUGCAGCCAGAAAACCUGAGGUAGCUCAAUAAUUUGAACUAAAAAUCUUCUUUGGGUUACUGUUUCGGAACUUUAGGUUUCACGAUAAUGUUGAUAUGAAGCAUGUAUUCGUAGGGUGUGUUGGCAACGUUUAUCUGAUUAUCUUCAUUAUGAUUUAAAAAAAA